rfam:Clostridium bornimense replicon M2/40_rep1, complete genome, type strain M2/40T
AUAACCUUUAAAGCUAGUCCAGAGAGGCUAGAAAGGGUAGGUAAAUUGCAAUAGGUAUGCAGUGGUGCAUACAAUUUUAACAGGAUAACUAUGCCUUCCCUUAGGGAAGGCUUUUUUAUU